GCAAGGAAUUUUCCACAAUGGACGAAAGUCUGAUGGAGCAACGCCGCGUGUGGGAUGACGCUUUUCGGAGUGUAAACCACUGUUCAUGGGGACGAAGCACUGACGGUACCCAUGGAGGAAGGCCCGGCUAACUACGUGCCAGCAGCCGCGGUAAUACGUAGGGGUCGAGCGUUGUCCGGAGUUACUGGGCGUAAAGCGCAUGCAGGCGGCUCAUUACGCAUGGCGUGAAAGCCCCCGGCUCAACCGGGGAGGGUCGUCGUGAACGGGUGAGCUUGAGGGUAUCAGGGGCUGGUGGAAUUCCCGGUGUAGUGGUGAAAUGCGUAGAGAUCGGGAGGAACACCUGUGGCGAAGGCGGCCAGCUGGGAUACACCUGACGCUGAGAUGCGAAGGCGUGGGGAGCGAACGGGAUUAGAAACCCGAGUAGUCC
rnacentral:rRNA from 1 species